CUGUGAGAGCAAAGGCGUCCUGCAUCGGGAUGUGAAGCCAAGCAACAUCUUGAUAAACACCAAGACGCUACAAGUGAAGCUGAUUGACUUCGGCUGUGGAGAUAUUUUCAAGGACGAGUCAUACACUGAUUUUGCAGACUUCCAGCAUUUAAUUCGGUGGUGCCUGUUGCUUGACCCAUUGGACCAGCCAACAGUGGAUCAAAUUAUGCUUCAUCCAUGGCUACAGCAGUACAAGCCAAAGGCCUGAGGGUUCUACACCAGCUGGAGGCAAGUGAAAAGUACCCAUGGUGCACAGUAUCUGAGCGGCUUCUUUUAUUCAAAGAUUUUCAGGCCAACAGAGAUUCAAGCUGCCUAUCUAACAAAGUGACGUUUUCCAUGCGUGCAGCAUCCUUAGAGGAUCUCUACACCAAAGGGGCACUACUUGGAAAAGGAGGGUUUGGCACAGUAUUUGCAGGGAUAAGAAAGACUGAUGGGAUGCCGGUGGCCAUCAAAUACAUCCCCAAGGAGAAAUGUACUAAGCAGCUAAGGAUGCCUGGACAAGAGAAGCCACUCCCCAGAGAGGUGGCUUUGAUGGUGCACUUAAGCCUAGAGCCAACUUGUCCUACCAUUCUAAAGCUUAUUGAAUGGUUUGACUUGCCCAGCGAGUACAUGUUGGCGAUGGAAAGACCUGAGCCAUGCAUGGAUCUGCAGGAAUACUUCAGGAGCCAAGGGGGCUUCCUUAGUGAGGAGGUGGCGCGGCAUGUGCUCCUGCAGCUGCUCGAAGCCCUGGGACACUGUGAGAGCAAAGGCGUCCUGCAUCGGGAUGUGAAGCCAAGCAACAUCUUGAUAAACACCAAGACGCUACAAGUGAAGCUGAUUGACUUCGGCUGUGGGGAGAUAUUUUCAAGGACGAGUCAUACAAUGCUUUUCCAGGUCCCCAACGACUGUUCCAUGUGAUUAUUAUAGGUGAUGCAUAGUAAAGUUUCAGCCAACAGAGAUUCUAGCUGCCUCUCUAACAAAGUGACGUUUUCCAUGCGUGCAGAUGAUGGGUGCAACACAUGUGCAGUAUAACAGGAAGCGCAGGGGGAGGGGAAUCUGGGAAAGAAGGCUCAUGACAGCACACUCUGGCAUAUGAAAUAUCAGUGCUGUCACACAAUUAAAGAUCUACUUGUCCAGAUGCUUGUUUUCCAUGUGACCUGUGGACAUCAAAGGUCUGUAAUUAAAAACUGACUUAGUAUAGUAGUAGCCCUUAAGAGUCAGUCACAUUUGAACUUAAAGUAAAUAUUUUUCAACAUCAGGCUAAAACACAGUAGCUCCCCCUUAUCCAUGGGGAGAUUGUUCCAAGACCCCCGGAAGAUGCCUGAAACUGCGGAUAGUACUUAACCCAAUAAAUACAAUUUUUUUACCAAGCUACCUGCGCUUUGCCGACGCACAGUCAACUCAUCCGCGCUGUAAAUGUGGGAUGUACGCAUAGAGACAACAUUACGUUAUCAGCUCACGUUUAGGAAAAUAACAGACUCUAAUCAAGAGAUCGGUACCCUUUUUAAAGCGAAUAGCCAUUUUAUCCUAAAUGUCUGACGCAGGAUUUACAAAGAGAGAGAAGAGGGUUUGAGAUAUGUUGUUUAAAUGUGAUAUUGGUAUAUGUCCAUUUAACACAAAAACAAAACUUCAAGCACUUACAAAAAAUAAAGAAAAACUAUUUCGGCACGAGGGGAGGCUCUUUUAAAUCACUCGGACGCGUAACAGCGCAAAGGUGACUAAUAUCACAAUAUUGUUCAGUUCUGUAGUGAUCAAAUCAUGUAGUUUCAAAUCAUUUUAAUGUAAUAUCAAAUAUAUUUUCCAAAUCAAAUUUAUGAAUGAAUGUUUAACACUGCCCUUUAAUGCAGUUUCUCUGCCCAGUCCUUUGUACCCACUGAACAGAUACACACUUGUGUUUUCUCCUAGCUAAGGUAAUUGUUUGCAUCAAUCCUUUUGCAUCAAAAAUUUGAAGGUUUUUCAAGUGAUGAAUAUUUUGAAAUUAGAAAACGUAACAGAAUCAGUCCGUCUCACAAGUUUGAGCGUUUUUUUCUGGAUUAAACAUACAAACUGCGUUCUCAAAGUUUUUUCCGCGCGGUUUUAUUCCUGUCUACUAAUAUCCAGGAUUUCGAAGCUUUUUUUCGUGCGAGUAAUACAAACUUAGCUCUACAUUUUAAAACGUAUCCUUUAAUUAAAUUAGUCCUUUAUUUAAUGUUUAGAUUCUAAAACAAAGAUUUACAGCUGGCGACACCAAACGUGAGCAUUUGCAGCUUAGAUAGCAUUUUUCAUGACAAGUUAUCCAUUUGAUUUUCUUUGAAAAUGAUCGUAUACAUAUAUAACAAAACAGAAUUUUUCGUUUUGGAGAUGUUUCAGAUACGUGGAAUAAAUAAAAUAGCGUGAGUUGCGUAUACAGUACUGUAUGCUUCUGUGAACUGUAAUGUGAUUGAUAUGUCGUUAUAAUUCAGCUAUGAGAAGGGUUACGCUUGUAUUCGUGAUGCUGUGGGGUGUACAUGCGUAAGCUGUCUGUAGCGCUUUAUGUUAACUGUGUGACUUGUAGGGCUGUCAACCAGAAAAAA